rnacentral:misc_RNA from 1 species
AACGCACCUUGCGCUCUUUGGUAUUCCGAAGAGCAUGCCUGUUUGAGUGUCAUGAAAUCAUCAAUCCGACUUCGCUUUUUUGUGUAAGCUCGGACUUGGAUUUGGAGGUUUUUGCUGGCUUUCCGUCGGCUCCUCUUGAAUGCAUUAGCUGGACUCCGUCGCGGUUCGCGGUGUGAUAACUUAUUCACCCUUGGAUUUCGAAGGUAGACCGGCUUCUAAAAACCCACCUUUUGACCAUCUGGCCUCAAAUCAGGUAGGACUACCCGCUGAACUUAA